AGUGGUCUGACACAGCCACACUGCCAUGACAGAUGGGAUGGAUGAAUGGGUGGACAGAGGAAAAGUGAAGAAUCUGGAACCAUCACACAUCAGCACUUGCUGAAAGCCCUGGAUGUAUUCCCACUGCUUUCUCCCCCAUUCCUGUGGAAGAGCAGAAUGGAUAGCACAUCCAGCCUUCAGGUGGCUGCUAAUAUGACAUGUACAACUUCAGACAUUUAUGUGAGCACCCAGAAUAACAGGACAGAGUUGGCCACAACCUGAGGUCAUCUUGCCUAUCAACCACCUAACCACUGCCCUGCAGGUCCAGAUAAAAAUCCUGCUACUCCCUCUGUGAUAUGAGAGGAGUCCCAAAGCAUAAUCUCCAGUGCAGUCUCAUGGACAUUGCUUUUGACAUCAUCAUCAAGAUCCUGGACUGUUUCUAAGAGUUUUUGCCACAGUGGUGCACAGAAGUGGGAUGGAAACAAAGUACAGAGUCAAUGCCCACCAAAUCUUGGUGGUUGAGGAACUGCUGAACACCUUGAUGGACAGGACUGGGAUACAGAAGAGCUUCUUCAGCAGGAUGUGACUGGUUUGACUGAAUAUGAGAGCAGAGGUUUCCCCAGGACCUUCAGAUGUGAGC